rnacentral:rRNA from 1 species
GACGAACGCUGGCGGCGUGCUUAACACAUGCAAGUCGAACGGAAAGGCCCUGCUUUUGUGGGGUGCUCGAGUGGCGAACGGGUGAGUAACACGUGAGUAACCUGCCCUUGACUUUGUGAUAACUUCAGGAAACUGGGGCUAAUACCGGAUAGGAGCUCCUGCUGCAUGGUGGGGGUUGGAAAGUUUCGGCGGUUGGGGAUGGACUCGCGGCUUAUCAGCUUGUUGGUGGGGUAGUGGCUUACCAAGGCUUUGACGGGUAGCCGGCCUGAGAGGGUGACCGGCCACAUUGGGACUGAGAUACGGCCCAGACUCCUACGGGAGGCAGCAGUGGGGAAUAUUGCACAAUGGGCGGAAGCCUGAUGCAGCACCGCCGCGUGCGGGAUGACGGCCUUCGGGUUGUAAACCGCUUUCGCCUGUGACGAAGCGUGAGUGACGGUAAUGGGUAAAGAAGCACCGGCUAACUACGUG